UACGAAGGGGGCUAGCGUUGUUCGGAAUUACUGGGCGUAAAGGGCUCGUAGGCGGCCAACUAAGUCGGAUGUGAAAUCCCCAGGCUUAACCUGGGAACUGCAUCCGAUACUGGAUGGCUUGAAUUCGGGAGAGGGAUGCAGAAUUCCAGGUGUAGCGGUGAAAUGCGUAGAUAUCUGGAGGAAUACCGGUGGCGAAGGCGGCAUCCUGGACCGACAUUGACGCUGAGGAGCGAAAGCUAGGGGAGCAAACGGG
rnacentral:rRNA from 1 species